GUACUCACUUCUCAUUUCAGCCGUGCAUAUUGAAAUGAUAUAGAGAAGGUUAGUAUAACCCCUGUGCAAGAAUGACAUUCAAUUUUUUGUGAAAUGUUCCAUAUUUUU